CGAGCGCUGACCUUCGGGGAUGCGUGCAUUUAUCAGACCUAAAACCCGUGCGGGGCGCUGCCGCGUGGUGGCCCCCGGCCUGUUUGGUGACUCUAGAUAACCUUGGGCCGAUCGCUCGCCCCCGUGGCGGCGACGACUCAUUCGAAUGUCUGCCCUAUCAACUUUCGAUGGUACUCUAUGUGCCUACCAUGGUGACAACGGGUAACGGGGAAUCAGGGUUCGAUUCCGGAGAGGGAGCCUGAGAAA
rnacentral:rRNA from 1 species